GACGUAGGUCGCGAACGUUAUCCGGAAUUACUGGGCGUAAAGGGCUCGUAGGCGGCCAACUAAGUCAGACGUGAAAUCCCCAGGCUCAACCUGGGAACUGCGUCUGAUACUGGUUGGCUUGAAUCCGGGAGAGGGAUGCAGAAUUCCCGGUGUAGCGGUGAAAUGCGCAGAUAUCGGGAAGAACACCCGUGGCGAAGGCGGUUCUCUGGGACGGUACUGACGCUGAGACGCGAAAGCGUGGGGAGCGAACAGG
rnacentral:rRNA from 1 species